rnacentral:tRNA from 1 species
AGGAUUAUAUUUAAUUAUAAUAUUUGAUUUGCAUUCAAAAAGUGUCUAUAAGACUAAUCUUA